rnacentral:rRNA from 1 species
CCAGUGAUAAACUGGAGGAAGGUGGGGAUGACGUCAAGUCAUCAUGGCCCUUACGACCAGGGCUACACACGUGCUACAAUGGCGCAUACAAAGAGAAGCGACCUCGCGAGAGCAAGCGGACCUCAUAAAGUGCGUCGUAGUCCGGAUUGGAGUCUGCAACUCGACUCCAUGAAGUCGGAAUCGCUAGUAAUCGUGGAUCAGAAUGCCACGGUGAAUACGUUCCCGGGCCUUGUACACACCGCCCGUCACACCAUGGGAGUGGGUUGCAAAAGAAGUAGGUAGCUUAACCUUCGGGAGGGCGCUUACCACUUUGUGAUUCAUGACUGGGGUGAAGUCGUAACAAGGUAACCGUAGGGGAACCUGCGGUUGGAUCACCUCCUU